ACCUCCACCUCGUUCUAUUCGGUCGCUCAUCUCUCUCAUCCCUAUCUGCACAGGUCCCGCCCCUCCUUACUUUUCUUCCCUCCUCUGACCUCCAUGGGGACCAGCGCUGCCCAAAUUUCCCCGCCCCCGGGUUCCGGUGAGGGCUGCGGCGAUCCAUGACUGUUGGGCUUCUUUUCCUACGGGGCUGGGGAAUUGGGAGAUGCUCCUGCUGCUGCCAGUCAUGGGGGAUACAUGUUUAGACGGGAGAUGAUGAACCGGGCAAUGCACGCCGCGGCGAGGGGCGGCGACCUGGAGAUCCUCAGGGAGCUCCUGCAGGGUUGCUCCAUUGCCUCUGCGUACCAGGACGCCCAAGGCGCCACCAUCUUAAAUGUUGCGGCUUCAAGGGGCCAAGUUGAGAGAGAUGGCCAAGGACCCGCCGGCGUCCAGACCCCCUCCACACCAUCCCCAUCUCGCCAAAGACCUGCACCAAGUCUCGUCCAGCGCCCGCGCCACCCUCGACCCCCGCCCCGCAGCUCUGCAGCCCCGAGCGCUUCAGCCGCCUCGCACCCGAAGUAGAGGAGAGGAGCUCCCUGCCACGAGCCUCCCUAGUGCCAGCAAACCAGCAGGCCGACCCCGCCACCUUCUCGCUUCCCUUCUCCUUCCUUUUGCCUCCUGCGGCAUGGUCGCCGUCCCGUGUCCGGCGGUGGGGAAGGCAAAUGGAUAAGGCAGUUUAAUUAAAUACCACGGGUGUAAUUGUAACUAAUAUAGGGGUGUUUUUGUAAAAACAAAGCGUUCUCUCAUAUUUCCACUUAAAGUA